AGCAGCCGCGGUAAUUCCAGCUCCAAUAGCGUAUAUUAAAGUUGUUGCAGUUAAAAAGCUCGUAGUUGAACUUCGGGAUCAAUGGAUUGGUCAUGCCGUUGGUAUGUACUGGUCGUAUUGGUUCUCACCUUCUAAGGAACCAUAAUGUCAUUAAUUUGAUGUUUUGGGGAAUUAGGACUGUUACCUUGAAAAAAU
rnacentral:rRNA from 1 species